UACGGAGGGUGCAAGCGUUGUCCGGAUUUAUUGGGUUUAAAGGGUGCGUAGGCGGCCUUAUAAGUCAGUGGUGAAAACCUGCAGCUUAACUGUAGACGUGCCAUUGAUACUGUGAGGCUUGAGUACAGAUGAGGUAGGCGGAAUUGAAGGUGUAGCGGUGAAAUGCAUAGAUAUCUUCAAGAACACCGAUAGCGAAGGCAGCUUACUAAGGUGUAACUGACGCUGAGGCACGAAAGUGUGGGGAUCAAACAGG
rnacentral:rRNA from 1 species